GGAGCGCCUCUGACUGACUUCCCCCAUGUGUCCGUGUGGCCACACCGUGCUACUUUCAGAGGCAGUGGGCUUUUCGCUAAGGGAUAAAAAGAAGUAAAACCUUGCCUUUAGCGCAGCUCUCCUUCACUGGGCAGAUUGCUCUCCCUCCCCACUCUCCCAGGCCCAAAUUGGAUCUCAGCGCCUGGGAGCUCCAACUUUAGCAAGUGCGAAAUCCUGUCUUCGGUUUUGGAAUUUUCAUCCGCACAGACUAUAUCAGCCACGGAUAGGAUAUGUGAGAAUACCAGCAUGUCAAGGCUGGGAAUCAUCCUUAGGCAUCACCUAGCCAGUCCUGCCUCUCAUUUUAAGGUGAUCACAGGAUCUGGUUUGCCACUGAAAGGAAUCUUGAUGCUGACCACUUCACCUCGGAGAGCAUGAACUGCUCCCAUGCCUUCAAGAGUUUUAGAGAAUAGACGCCUUGAUGGCUCCUCUGGCAGUUCUUGAUGACCAUGGAUGAGCUAAUGGCUGUGGUCUCAAUGGUGGCUUCUUGAG
rnacentral:ncRNA from 2 species